rnacentral:rRNA from 1 species
GACGUAGGGCGCGAGCGUUGUCCGGAUUUAUUGGGCGUAAAGAGCUCGUAGGCGGCUUGUCGCGUCGGCUGUGAAAACCCGCGGCUCAACUGUGGGCGGGCAGCUGAUACGGGCAGGCUGGAGUUCGGUAGGGGAGACUGGAAUUCCUGGUGUAGCGGUGGAAUGCGCAGAUAUCAGGAGGAACACCGGUGGCGAAGGCGGGUCUCUGGGCAGUAACUGACGCUGGAGGAGCGAAAAGCGUGGGGAGCGAACAGG